rnacentral:rRNA from 1 species
UUAAGUUAUUAAGGGCGCACGGUGGAUGCCUUGGCACUAGAAGCCGAUGAAGGACGUUACUAACGACGAUAUGCUUUGGGGAGCUGUAAGUAAGCUUUGAUCCAGAGAUUUCCGAAUGGGGAAACCCAACAUGAGUUAUGUCAUGUUAUCGAUAUGUGAAUACAUAGCAUAUCAGAAGGCACACCCGGAGAACUGAAACAUCUUAGUACCCGGAGGAAGAGAAAGAAAAUUCGAUUCCCUUAGUAGCGGCGAGCGAAACGGGAAGAGCCCAAACCAACAAGCUUGCUUGUUGGGGUUGUAGGACACUCUAUACGGAGUUACAAAGGACGACAUUAGACGAAUCAUCUGGAAAGAUGAAUCAAAGAAGGUAAUAAUCCUGUAGUCGAAAAUGUUGUCUCUCUUGAGUGGAUCCUGAGUACGACGGAGCACGUGAAAUUCCGUCGGAAUCUGGGAGGACCAUCUCCUAAGGCUAAAUACUCUCUAGUGACCGAUAGUGAACCAGUACCGUGAGGGAAAGGUGAAAAGCACCCCGGAAGGGGAGUGAAAUAGAACCUGAAACCGUGUGCUUACAAGUAGUCAGAGCCCGUUAAUGGGUGAUGGCGUGCCUUUUGUAGAAUGAACCGGCGAGUUACGAUUUGAUGCAAGGUUAAGCAGUAAAUGUGGAGCCGUAGCGAAAGCGAGUCUGAAUAGGGCGUUUAGUAUUUGGUCGUAGACCCGAAACCAGGUGAUCUACCCUUGGUCAGGUUGAAGUUCAGGUAACACUGAAUGGAGGACCGAACCGACUUACGUUGAAAAGUGAGCGGAUGAACUGAGGGUAGCGGAGAAAUUCCAAUCGAACCUGGAGAUAGCUGGUUCUCUCCGAAAUAGCUUUAGGGCUAGCCUCAAGUGAUGAUUAUUGGAGGUAGAGCACUGUUUGGACGAGGGGCCCCUCUCGGGUUACCGAAUUCAGACAAACUCCGAAUGCCAAUUAAUUUAACUUGGGAGUCAGAACAUGGGUGAUAAGGUCCGUGUUCGAAAGGGAAACAGCCCAGACCACCAGCUAAGGUCCCAAAAUAUAUGUUAAGUGGAAAAGGAUGUGGCGUUGCCCAGACAACUAGGAUGUUGGCUUAGAAGCAGCCAUCAUUUAAAGAGUGCGUAAUAGCUCACUAGUCGAGUGACACUGCGCCGAAAAUGUACCGGGGCUAAACAUAUUACCGAAGCUGUGGAUUGUCCUUUGGACAAUGGUAGGAGAGCGUUCUAAGGGCGUUGAAGCAUGAUCGUAAGGACAUGUGGAGCGCUUAGAAGUGAGAAUGCCGGUGUGAGUAGCGAAAGACGGGUGAGAAUCCCGUCCACCGAUUGACUAAGGUUUCCAGAGGAAGGCUCGUCCGCUCUGGGUUAGUCGGGUCCUAAGCUGAGGCCGACAGGCGUAGGCGAUGGAUAACAGGUUGAUAUUCCUGUACCACCUAUAAUCGUUUUAAUCGAUGGGGGGACGCAGUAGGAUAGGCGAAGCGUGCGAUUGGAUUGCACGUCUAAGCAGUAAGGCUGAGUAUUAGGCAAAUCCGGUACUCGUUAAGGCUGAGCUGUGAUGGGGAGAAGACAUUGUGUCUUCGAGUCGUUGAUUUCACACUGCCGAGAAAAGCCUCUAGAUAGAAAAUAGGUGCCCGUACCGCAAACCGACACAGGUAGUCAAGAUGAGAAUUCUAAGGUGAGCGAGCGAACUCUCGUUAAGGAACUCGGCAAAAUGACCCCGUAACUUCGGGAGAAGGGGUGCUCUUUAGGGUUAACGCCCAGAAGAGCCGCAGUGAAUAGGCCCAAGCGACUGUUUAUCAAAAACACAGGUCUCUGCUAAACCGUAAGGUGAUGUAUAGGGGCUGACGCCUGCCCGGUGCUGGAAGGCUAAGAGGAGUGGUUAGCUUCUGCGAAGCUACGAAUCGAAGCCCCAGUAAACGGCGGCCGUAACUAUAACGGUCCUAAGGUAGCGAAAUUCCUUGUCGGGUAAGUUCCGACCCGCACGAAAGGCGUAACGAUUUGGGCACUGUCUCAACGAGAGACUCGGUGAAAUCAUAGUACCUGUGAAGAUGCAGGUUACCCGCGACAGGACGGAAAGACCCCGUGGAGCUUUACUGUAGCCUGAUAUUGAAAUUCGGCACAGCUUGUACAGGAUAGGUAGGAGCCUUUGAAACGUGAGCGCUAGCUUACGUGGAGGCGCUGGUGGGAUACUACCCUAGCUGUGUUGGCUUUCUAACCCGCACCACUUAUCGUGGUGGGAGACAGUGUCAGGCGGGCAGUUUGACUGGGGCGGUCGCCUCCUAAAAGGUAACGGAGGCGCUCAAAGGUUCCCUCAGAAUGGUUGGAAAUCAUUCAUAGAGUGUAAAGGCAUAAGGGAGCUUGACUGCGAGACCUACAAGUCGAGCAGGGUCGAAAGACGGACUUAGUGAUCCGGUGGUUCCGCAUGGAAGGGCCAUCGCUCAACGGAUAAAAGCUACCCCGGGGAUAACAGGCUUAUCUCCCCCAAGAGUUCACAUCGACGGGGAGGUUUGGCACCUCGAUGUCGGCUCAUCGCAUCCUGGGGCUGUAGUCGGUCCCAAGGGUUGGGCUGUUCGCCCAUUAAAGCGGUACGCGAGCUGGGUUCAGAACGUCGUGAGACAGUUCGGUCCCUAUCCGUCGUGGGCGUAGGAAAUUUGAGAGGAGCUGUCCUUAGUACGAGAGGACCGGGAUGGACAUACCUCUGGUGUACCAGUUGUCGUGCCAACGGCAUAGCUGGGUAGCUAUGUGUGGACGGGAUAAGUGCUGAAAGCAUCUAAGCAUGAAGCCCCCCUCAAGAUGAGAUUUCCCAACUUCGGUUAUAAGAUCCCUCAAAGAUGAUGAGGUUAAUAGGUUCGAGGUGGAAGCAUGGUGACAUGUGGAGCUGACGAAUACUAAUCGAUCGAAGACUUAAUCAA